rnacentral:rRNA from 1 species
AGAGUUUGAUCCUGGCUCAGAUUGAACGCUGGCGGCAGGCCUAACACAUGCAAGUCGAACGGUAACAGGAAACAGCUUGCUGUUUCGCUGACGAGUGGCGGACGGGUGAGUAAUGUCUGGGAAACUGCCUGAUGGAGGGGGAUAACUACUGGAAACGGUAGCUAAUACCGCAUAACGUCGCAAGACCAAAGAGGGGGACCUUCGGGCCUCUUGCCAUCGGAUGUGCCCAGAUGGGAUUAGCUAGUAGGUGGGGUAACGGCUCACCUAGGCGACGAUCCCUAGCUGGUCUGAGAGGAUGACCAGCCACACUGGAACUGAGACACGGUCCAGACUCCUACGGGAGGCAGCAGUGGGGAAUAUUGCACAAUGGGCGCAAGCCUGAUGCAGCCAUGCCGCGUGUAUGAAGAAGGCCUUCGGGUUGUAAAGUACUUUCAGCGGGGAGGAAGGGAGUAAAGUUAAUACCUUUGCUCAUUGACGUUACCCGCAGAAGAAGCACCGGCUAACUCCGUGCCAGCAGCCGCGGUAAUACGGAGGGUGCAAGCGUUAAUCGGAAUUACUGGGCGUAAAGCGCACGCAGGCGGUUUGUUAAGUCAGAUGUGAAAUCCCCGGGCUCAACCUGGGAACUGCAUCUGAUACUGGCAAGCUUGAGUCUCGUAGAGGGGGGUAGAAUUCCAGGUGUAGCGGUGAAAUGCGUAGAGAUCUGGAGGAAUACCGGUGGCGAAAGCGGCCCCCUGGACGAAGACUGACGCUCAGUGCGAAAGCGUGGGGAGCAAACAGGAUUAGAUACCCUGUAGUCCACGCCGUAAACGAUGUCGACUUGGAGGUUGUGCCCUUGAGGCGUGGCUUCCGGAGCUAACGCGUUAGUCGACCGCCUGGGGAGUACGGCCGCAAGGUUAAAACUCAAAUGAAUUGACGGGGCCCGCACAGCGGUGGAGCAUGUGGUUUAAUUCGAUGCAACGCGAGAACCUUACCUGGUCUUGACAUCACAGACUUUCCAGAGAAUGAUUGGUGCCCUCGGGAACGGGAAGCAGGUGCUGCAUGGCUGGUCUACACCUC